UGUAAAUUAGGAUUGAAAAACAAUCACUAUAGUAAAUAUGUACCCUUUUAUUAAUGUAAAUUAUUAGAUUUCAUCUCAUCUACAUGAACGUUGUUUACUUGUAACUGGAUGUUUUUAAUGUAGACAUUUGUAGUACGCAUGCGUGAAUUUGGUUUCGUGUCAACUUGCCCUGUUUACAUGUUCGCCCUUGGUUUGUUCGUCCUAAGUUCUUUUGACCAUAUAGUACGUUCUCCCUGUGUUCAUUCUCUUCACUCUUAUCAAGGACGUUUUAUAAUACGUCCUGGCAUUUAUUAAAAGAUAUUUAUAUUAAAGGUAUCGUUAAAAAAAAACCUCUUAAACACGAUUUAGUGAAAAGCAUCUGUUUCUUAUUUUGUUCCCAAGG
rnacentral:lncRNA from 1 species